rnacentral:rRNA from 1 species
GAGCGGCGAACGGGUGAGUAACACGUGAGUAACCUGCCCUAGGCUUUGGGAUAACCCUCGGAAACGGGGGCUAAUACCGAAUAUGACUUCCUGCCGCAUGGUGGGGGGUGGAAAGUUUUUCGGCCUGGGAUGGACUCGCGGCCUAUCAGCUUGUUGGUGGGGUAAUGGCCUACCAAGGCGACGACGGGUAGCCGGCCUGAGAGGGCGACCGGCCACACUGGGACUGAGACACGGCCCAGACUCCUACGGGAGGCAGCAGUGGGGAAUAUUGCACAAUGGGCGAAAGCCUGAUGCAGCGACGCCGCGUGAGGGAUGACGGCCUUCGGGUUGUAAACCUCUUUCAGCAGGGACGAAGCGAAAGUGACGGUACCUGCAGAAGAAGCGCCGGCCAACUACGUGCCAGCAGCCGCGGUAAGACGUAGGGCGCGAGCGUUGUCCGGAUUUAUUGGGCGUAAAGAGCUCGUAGGCGGCUUGUCGCGUCGACUGUGAAAACCCGCAGCUCAACUGCGGGCCUGCAGUCGAUACGGGCAGGCUAGAGUUCGGUAGGGGAGACUGGAAUUCCUGGUGUAGCGGUGGAAUGCGCAGAUAUCAGGAGGAACACCGGUGGCGAAGGCGGGUCUCUGGGCCGAUACUGACGCUGAGGAGCGAAAGCGUGGGGAGCGAACAGGAUUAGAUACCCUGGUAGUCCACGCUGUAAACGU